AGAGUGAGAGUGAAGAAGAGAGAGAGCGUGAGAGAGAGAAUUCUUUACAAAUCGGGCACUUGAAUUAAUGAAGGUAUGACGUUAACAUAUAGUGAAAUAAAUCAAUUUUGUGAUUUAUAAAAUAUAAAAAAAUAGAAGUGUAGUAGCGAUAAUAAAAACAUUAGAGAAAAAAUAGUAAUAGCAAAAGACUUCCUUGUCUUGUGCGAACAUAAUCACAAAACGUGAACAUAAAGUUGAUAAAAGAAGAUGAGGUGCUGGACAGAAGGGACUUAAAAGUAGUAAGGGAGACGCGACUGUGUGGAUUGUCAAAGGAAAAGAAUUCCGGAGAUUGAUGGCUCCAGCUUGGAAAGCUAAAAUUUGGAGAUGCUAUGACGAUGAAGAUUUAAGUCAUUGGGAAACGAGCCGGUGUUAAAAGAGUGAUAGAAGAUUCGAAUUGAAGAAGAUGAAAAGUACAGUGAGGUCGACGAGAGUUUAAGGAUUAGGUAAAGGAAGAUGCCUAUACAAUUUUUCCUAAGGAAAGAGUGAUAAAGCCAGGAUAGGUCUGAAUACGAUAUGAGACUGGACUUUCGGGGUGCCGAAAAUAACCUAAGACGGCAAUUCAUCAGUCUUUCAGAAGCUUUUCUUCUUCCUCCGAAGUCCACCAUAAGCAAUACAGCUGUCGUCGAAGAGGAGAAAGAGGAGAGAGGAGACAAGGAGUUUACGAAAGGUAGAACGAGCCAGGACUAACAUAAAACAGUUCUAGAAUCUAAUUGGAAUGAAAUGGAAAGUAGGCUAUUAAUUGGAGAGCAACUCUUGAAAUUGACAAGUAACGAGAAAUUUCUUAUUCUUUUCUUUUGAAUGUCUUAUUUUUACGACCAGACCGUAAGGUUGUAUAUGCGUUUGGUGUGCAAAAUAUAAAUAAACCUAUAUUCAUUCAAAUUUAAGGAUGGUGCGUUAAUUUUGUCCGUCGGCGUAUUGCAGAUAAGACCCACAGACGACUUCAAGUACCUAGUCAAUAAACCUAGAAGUUGGUCAGUUUGGUCGGUUGUUUAUCUUUCGUGGUGUACACAACAAUGAAGAUAGUUAUUUCAAAGAAUAAACCAAAACUGGAAUAACGAAGUUCUUACUAAUAAGUCAUAAUCAAGGUCAUGUCAGCUCAUACAAAAUUUUAGCGCUUUGACGUUGCAAUGUCAUAUUGAUUCAGUUAAUCCCAGACGUAAACAUCUUUACGAACAGAAGAAACAUCUUGAGAUAAUUACGUUUACUUAACCGAUAGCGUUAACUGACUUUAAUUCAAAUUUGAAUGAACUUUACGCGUUAACAAUCUUCACUCGCCUUCGUGUGUAUCACGUUAAACUGUUGGGUCAUAGAGAACUUCGAACUUAAAAUGCCGGACGACGAGUUCAAUAACAAUUAAACUGUUGUUUGACCAUGGCCCGAUUUUCAGCUUAGAAGGCCUCUUAAUGUAAAUUCUUUAAAUUAGGAAUUUAUAAGGGAUCGUUCUUAUAAGAAAUCGACAUUAUUUAUGUUUUGGCCUAUAGAAAAAUAACCGCGAUUCAGAAAUAAUAAUUUUUUUUUUCUUUCCCAACUUCCAUCAUACAGAAUACUAAUAAUAAAUAAACAAAUAAUUUAACAUUACACGUCACUGAAUUGAUUUAAACUUAAUUUCUCCAACUAUCAUCAAACUAAACUCUGUGGAAUAUGGCGGAUGAUAAGUAGGGGUUUGAAAUGUAACAAAAUAUUCAACUAUGUUAUAAAAAGCCUUCAGUUUUAAUUUAGAAAAGGAUUUUAUGGACGGAAAUAAGCUUUUUUUUUCUAUAGAAAUUCGGUCAGAAAUUCAAUUAUUUGAUUGAACCUACCAGUUUUCUUAAGAGGAAUGGUCCAGGUCAGUCAGUUUAAUGCAUGAUAAGUCUUUUGGCUUAAGAAAUAAUCUUUAAUGAACAAAGUGCUAGCUUUCUACGCUUUGUUUAUAGGCAUAAUCUGCAGUUUGUUGCCUUGAUGAGCUUCGUGAUAUUGGAGUCUGAUUCUGUAGUUCGGUCAUAUUGGUCAAAUUCGUUAUGCGCUUUUUGGUUUGUCUGUUCCAUUAUCUUCAAUGGUGCCAAACUUAAGGGGCUCACGGGGGAAAGCGGUAAAAUGCAAAAAGCAGGCAUAUGUAGACAAGGAUGAUUGGUUCAUUUCACAGACAUAAUGAGAAAAUUUCACAGUCAGACCUACCUUACUCACAUCCUCCUCACAAGUCUGAUAUGAAUUUAGUUAAUUGCAGUUCAUAAUGUUUGUAUUCGCCUGUGAUAUUUCUCCAUGUGGUUUAUGGGGUGAUGAAUUUGUUAUUUGUUCGUUACUGAUCACUGUUCAUUUUUUUGGUUUAAACUAUCAGAUGCAUUUUGACUUUUUGCUAACAUCAGCAGGUGAGAAUAUAAACUUAAAGAAGGACACGAUUCAUGAUAAAACACACAGGCGAACCACCAAAGUGGUAAGAUGACAAAAUCAGUGGAGAUCGGCAGAAAGGACGAUCGGAAAUUCUAGGUUUAUUGUCUUGGUCCUUGAAGACAUUUCAAGGUUUGAUAUGAUCUCAUCUUACUCACUUCUUCCUUACAAGCCUGAAUUUUGUAAAUCCUGUGCAUAGCAUUUGUGUUAUUUCACCAUGUUGUCUGUUAGGCAAUAAACCUGUUAUUUGUAUGUUACUGAUCAAAUUAAUCUGCUGGUUUCGCUUUCUCGCCAUCAUCAGUGCAGGUUUUAGGCAAUUCAAAAUGUUCUCAAAAUACCAACAUUUUAUUAUGGCACAUUUUAUGCUCCCCCCCACCAAAAAAAGCCAGACUGAUUUCUGUGAUACAGAAUUGAUAAAAUCAAUAAAAAUUUAAUAUCGCAGACCCAAUUAAACCUUUUGUUUACUGAGUACCAACACAACGAUAAUAAAAUUAAAUACACUUUAAAAUUAAAUUUAAUUGAUAUUGUCACUCAUGGCUACUUGAACCUUGUAUUUGCUUAUUAAAUAAUACUUUUGUGGUAUCCGCAUGUUAAUAAUAAUUGUAUUCCAAUCAAAUACCCCUUCAAGUCGAGAACCACUUGAAAGAAUGAAAUUUCCAAUUAGUUUUCACUUUUUUUCCUUUGGCAAUAUCAGUUAUCAAUUAACAUUUAUCAGCGGUAAUAUAAAAGUGCUUGGAUUUUUUUUUCUUUCAGUUUUACAAAUAUCUUGUCAAUGUCAGUUUUGGAUUUUUAAAAAUAAAAACAAACAAGCAGUUUUACUCAUGUUUCAGAUUUUUAUCAGAAAUUAAAUUUGAAAUACUUACAUUACAACCAUGUAAAUAAAUGAAUUAAUACAGAUAUAUCAUUUGAUUGAAGGUAUGCAUUAUUAGGUAUUAAAGAAUAUGUAAGGAUGUUAGGUGAAUGUAUAUAUUUGCGAAAUUGAAUAGUGUGUGGCUGAUAGCGUAUGUUCACUUAUUUGGAUGUAUUGUAUUUGAAUUGACAGAGGAAUAUAAAAGAAGAAUGUAUUAAAGAAUUAAUUAAAAUGAUAAGAUUUAAAGUUGCAUACAUUAGGGGCUGAAUAUCUAGCUGUUUUUUUUUUGUUUUGUUUUUUGAUGGCACUCUGCAUUUUCUGCGUUUUGUCUUACACAUGUGUGGUAACAGCUUCCUAGCCCCUUCAAGAGCGAUUUACAUUCUGCUGAAAUGUGGGGUACAUCGAACAUGUUGCUUCUUCCUUCAUAAAUGUCCCCUCUCACACAUGGUGAAAAGUCCUAAUUCAAUCAAUAUUUCAGUAACGUACUUACACGCGCACAGAGAAUUAAAAAAAAAAAAAAAAAAGUUUUCCAGCUUUCAAAGCAUAAACCAAUUACAAUGUUCUAUACAAACAUGUCUUAUCACACAAGUACAACGUAGAAAGGUUCAAUUUUAUUUCAAAGACAAAUUGGGCUACUGUGUUGCAGUUGAAGAGAAUGUCUUUGAACAUCUCAUU